CCCUUUUUCUCGUGUGCUAAUAAUCCGAAGAGUUACCUUCGGUUCUUACUCGCUUCGCAUUCCAACUUACAAAAUCAUUUGUUGUUAUCGUGCAUUAAUGCGAAAUUAUUUUACUAUUCAUUUAUAUAGUAUGAAACAACUUAUACAGUUUUUUUUCUUUUCUACUCAUAUCGUUUGAUUUUUUUUAUAUAGUAAUACGUCUCGAACGCGUACGUGAUUUUUAAUCACAGCUUCCAACCAAAAAAGUUCCAUUGUCAGAUGAUGCUGUCGUGUGUACGCCGAACUUAAAAACCCGGUAUGCAACUUCAUCAACAUGUAGCCUUAUCGAUGAAAUAUACAGCUCACUCGUAAACUACCCUGUAGAUCCGGGCUUUUGUAGCUUAUUCUGGUCAGAAGCUCGUCUUUACAGGUACUUACGGCUGAGAAAAAACUUAUAUAUUUUUUUGCUGAUGAAUGAUGAAGAUACCGUCGAUCAGUUCUUCGAUGAUUUUACGAAUAGUUUAUACACAUCUGAAUUAUUGCAAAGAAGUUGAUUUCGUUUAUGAAUUACCUACUCGUAUGUUGCUGAUUUUGUACCUGAAACUGAGUAAUAUAAUUUCAACGAAAAAGUAAUUUUUAGUUUGGUAAAAUCAGGAAAUUUGUUUUCCAUUUUUACUUUCGAUCAUGUCGGAUCUCUUGUACCUGUAAUAAUAUUUUGUUUUUGAUUUUAAUGUUGUAUAUGAGAAAAAUUGUGGAAUAAAGUACUUAUUUACCUACUUGAGAAGAGUAGUGAUUA